ACCACCUGCGUCAAUGUGACCUCAUGUGCCUUGAGGAACGGUGGAUGUGAUCAUACCUGCUCGUUGGGUGCUGAGGGUCGCAUCCAUUGCAGCUGCAGAGCAGGAUGGGAGCUCAGCGCAGACCAAAGAACCUGCAUCGAUGUGGACGAGUGUGUGAGUUUUAACGGCGGCUGUGAGCAGGUGUGUGUGAAUCACGCUGGCGGUUUUAAUUGCAGCUGUCGCUCGGGCUUCGAGUUGCGUAAAGACGACCCGACUAAAUGCCAUCCUCUGUGUGAACCUGCCUGUCUGAACUCUGGAGUGUGUGUCGCUCCGAACACCUGCGACUGUCCGGCGGGAUAUCCGGGACCAGGAUGCUCGGGUA